AUAAAGGACAAUAUGUUAUAUAUUAAGGGGAUCUUUCCCUCUUGCACAUCAUCGCAUAGAAAGCAAGUUUGUCUUAGAAAGUCGCUUCAACAUUCCCCUAUAUAUGAUCAUGCUUCUAAAUUAUGACAAGAAAGUAUGAAGUUAACAAAUGAUAUUAUCUUUAGAUGAUGACGGAAGCCUAAUGCAUCACUUCUGGCAAACUUACGAAAGAACAUAAUUUCUAGAUGAUGAAGGGUGAUAAAAUAAAUAACACUAUCUUUCGGUUGAAAAUUUAUUGAACUCAUAGGCAUGGUAUCUAAAGUCCACAUAUGAACUUAAGUAGUCAUCGUUUUAGCAUAAAGGAUGUUAUUUCGAAAUUAUCAAAAUAUUAACUCGUUGUCGGUCUUAGUUUUUGGAGAAUCGGGCAUUCUCUGGGAGAGUCCCAGUUCGCUAGAUAUUGUUGGCAUCGGAGAGUAUAAUAUCGGAGAGCAUGAAACGCUGCCCUUUUGCUUAUGUUCGUUUUGUGCCUGCACUGGGGUUUCCUUGCCUGACCCUUGCCUUUCGACCCAGAAAUACUAUCGGCGGGCGAUGUUCCGGUUGUUUUGCAGUAGUUUCCAUGCUCUGAUUGAGAUGUUUUUUACUUGCUUGCCCGCGCGGCGCUUGCAUUCCUGCUUGAGUAGAGAGCAGCAGAUAAGUUAAAAUGAUGCUUCUCUUACCCCCCCCCC
rnacentral:lncRNA from 1 species